AGUGAACGCUGGCGGCGUGCCUAAUACAUGCAAGUCGAACGGACAAGUAAGAGCUUGCUCUUAUGAGUUAGUGGCGCACGGGUGAGUAAUAUAUAGCUAAUCUGCCCUACACUAGAGGACAACAGUUGGAAACGGCUGCUAAUACUCUAUACUCCUAUCUUACAUAAGUUAGAUAGGGAAAGUUUUUCGGUGUAGGAUGAGGCUAUAUUGUAUCAGCUAGUUGGUGAGGUAAUGGCUCACCAAGGCUAUGACGCAUAACUGGUCUGAGAGGAUGAUCAGUCACACUGGAACUGAGACACGGUCCAGACUCCUACGGGAGGCAGCAGUAGGGAAUAUUGCUCAAUGGGGGAAACCCUGAAGCAGCAACGCCGCGUGGAGGAUGACACUUUUCGGAGCGUAA
rnacentral:rRNA from 1 species